GACACACCCUUCCCACCUGCACCUGCCGGUCCGCAGAGGUGUGGUGCAGCCUCUCGGGGCACUGUUACCUGGACACCUGGACUUGGCCUUGCAUCUGCCCUGGGGAAGAUGAGUCCCUUGUCUCUUAAAAACCUUCCCAAGUGCAGUGAUUCUUUAGGCCCUGGGGACUUGGUGCACUUAACAGGCUUCAGGUGUGGGGAUGGAGCUGUGGGUGAGUCGGCUGGCGUCUCGCUUUUGCUGCUGGCUGUGUCCCGCCAGCCUCGAUGUCUUUGUUGUUAAAUGGGUGAUACCUGUCUUUGUGAGAGGGGCUCCGGGAGGGCGCAGAGAGCUCAGAGGAAACUUGUGUGAAGCCUCGGAUGGGCUGUGCAGGUGAAGAGGGCACGGCUACGUUCCCCAGAAUCAAGUGAGACCCGAGCCUCGGCCCUGGGCGUCCCUCCCGUGGCUCCCACCCUCCUGCUGCACCUGGCCCCUCCCUACCCGGGUACCUGCCAGCACUCUGCAGGCAAGGACCCGGGUGUGUGUGGAGGAAGAGCACGUUGAUUCCAGCAGCUCAGAGGACUCACCGGCUUCUCCAUGGACAGCGUGCCGUGUGGAUCAGAGGAUGGGGAGUGAAGGUGGGCGCUGGGCACCAGGAGUCCUGUUCACACACCUGGUUCCUCACUCCAGACCCAGGUGUGAAUAGUGCACGUGCUGGGGUUGCGUCUGCUCUAGUGUUACAAGCCUGACGCUGCUCUAUAUCCUGACGGGUGUGUCCACACAUGAUCCCGGUUGUGGGGUGAUCCAUGUGAUUAUGGUAAUUAAAUGGACUUUUCUGCUGAUUAACCUCUUGAUGGUGUUGCCUGGGAAGUUCUUCUGUGCUUUAAUCUACUUUAACAGCGAGUAAGGUCUUGUCCUCCGCCUGUCGUAGGGGCCGUUCUGCUGGGGUCAUGCUUAGAUUUGCUCGGGGCCUCCCCUGUGGCCGCCUGCCUCCCACGCUGACUCAGUCCACGUGACACUCCUCUCCUGUUUCCAUUCUGCAAGGUGGGGCUGAUGUCUGCUCCUUCCUUUCCUGCGUAUUUGUGAGAACACAUCAGGGAUUGUGUCUCUGGAAUUGUCUUUGUAACUUGAAAAGGCAGUAUUUUGAGUAGGGGAUGACAUUGAACGUCAAGGAUGGCCGACAUCGUGGUGAGACUUGAACCGUUUGUGUCUUGUGCUGGUUCAUAGCUCCUUUCCCCUCCCUGCCCUGCGCCAUUUUAGGGGAGAGAGUCAGUGUCUGAUGGGGGCUCAUUCCGAGUUGCCUGCUUGGGGCUAGCUUUAUGCAUAGCUGUGUACAGCAGAGUCAGACUGGCUGCAUGGCCGUGAUGUGACCCGUGUCCUGUCAGGUGUUGUAACUUCAUAGGAAAUGCUUUUUAACAGGCAACAGUGCACGCGUGUAUCGAGUCUGCAGGAAUAGUAAGGUGAAACCUGACCAUUCUGCCUCGAAAACACAGAACCCAAGCGUGCUGACCCUGAACAUUUCUUCUUGGUUGGGAACUGAGGGCUGUGCUCUCAGUGCAGAGAAGCUGGUAGCUUUUCACAGUUUUCAGCAAAGGUGUCUUUUUUUUGUUUUGACUCAGAUGUUGAUUUUCUGUCUCAAAGUGUCAUUUCCUGUAUUUUAUCUGGUAAUUUGCCAUGAUGAGGUGUAAAAUAUAGCCUCAUUAGGCUUAAAUAUAUGAUAGGUUUUUGUUGUAAACAUGAAACGGAUUUACUCUAAUGGGAAUUACUAACAUGAUCUUAAAAUUAAAUUAAGUGAUUCAUUCACUGUGUGCUGCUUUGUCAUCGUUACAAAAACUCCAUCAGGACUCAGUUGCUGCCUUUUAUAGGACAGAGGCCCUGCGUUGAGGUUUUUGUCAUCAGCCUUCUCUCUGCCGUGUUGAGUUUUCAUGUGCACUGACCUCUUUGUGAUAUAAAGAGACGUGGCCGCGUCUCAUGGGGGAACCAAGGCUGGGGAGGGACCUGCCUAGGGGCACAAGCGGCUGGGGGCGAGGAGGCAGGGUGGCUGCCCAGUCCAGGGGUCAGGCCUGCGGGUGGCUAUGUCCCGGGCACCGAGGUGGGACAGCAGCGGGACUAAGCCUUGCAAGUGGUCCUCUGGGUGGCUGCGUUCCUCAGGGCCUGGCCUGUCUGCAACCCGGGGAGGGCUGGGCUGCAUCUGGAGUGGAGGCCCUGAAGCUGGAUCCCAGAGUCUGCACGGCUGGUGAGCAGGGGUGGAGGGCCUGGCGGGGAGGCUCUGGAACACAGAGCAGGGCAGGCCUGUCUGUCGGGAGUUUGACUGGUUUUGGUCAGUUUGAGACCUCAAGUGUUUCUUCUUCUUGGUCAUAAUUCUGGUACCGUAUGUCUUAGAAUCCUGUGUCCUUAACUUUACAUUUUCCCAGUGACAGUGAAUGAGAUGAAGGUGCAGCUUCCCACUGUCAGAGUCAUUCCCUCUUAGAGCAAAGCUGGUAAGUUUUAAGAAACAGGUAGAAUUGGGUGGCAGCAUGGGACUUCAGGCCACCACUGGUUGACAUCCACUCCCUGUGGUAAGUGACGCUGUCACGGGCACGGGGGAGUUGGGGGCAGGGGUGCCAUGAGGCUGCUCCCCGUCACACCUCCCUUUCUCACACCAUGUGAGGCCUGUGGGGCAGCGUCCGGUUGGUCUCACAGUUGUCAGGAGACACUUGGCCUUGUGCUCUGGUGCGUGUUUGAAAGUGAGGACGGAGGGGACCUUAGAGCUUGUGUCCCCUGCAUCAGUCACGGGGGCCCCACAGGUGUGUCCUGAAGCGUCUGGCCCUGGUGCUGGACCCCGGUGUGCCUGCCGUCCUGCUGACGGACGGGGUCAAGCAGGGGCUGAACUUGCUUGUGUUCACGAGAGGGCUGCCUUCAGGGGCCUUCAGAGUCUCGAAUGAGUCCAGCCUCGCGUGGCACAGUGGCCGCCACUGCCCCUGAAUUAGUGGCCGCAGAAAUGGAGGCAGCUGUGGAAUUAUCGUGACUUUCAUCGCCGCAGGAGCCAGAGGAACUUCACUUGGGGGUUCGCGUUUGUCACGUUUAUGACAGCGAGCUAAGUCGCCGAAUUUAAUGCACAUUUUCUGUUUCCUGUGAAUUACCGAGUCGUUCUUUUAAAGGUGACAGCACGUUUGGCGCUAAUCCGUAGUUGGACGAGGACGCCCGGGCUCACGGUGCAGGCGUCUGGGUCCCCUGCUCCCGCUUGGCCCAGCCUUGUGCCGCCUCCACUGCGAAGCCCUUCCCGCCUUCCCACCCACAGCGGUGCCCCCGCCCAGCAGGUCCCCCACCCUGCCUCCCUGUCCGGGCCGAGCCGUGGGAUCUGCUCCGUCCCUGCCCACCUACCUGCCCAGGCGCAGCUGCCGAGCCUCAGGCAGCAGAGAACGUGGGGGUGGGAUGCGCAGAGGACAGCGCAGCUGGAGGUGGGGGGCCUUGGGGCUUUGGUCUUCAGUAGGGUUCAGUGGCGAGGCCCCCCAGGGCUUUGUGGAGGGAAGGGGGCCUCCUGACUUCCCCGUUCUCCCCUUAGCAGGUCAAGCAGCAGGCAUUGCUUCAAGGUGAUCAGUUCUUUAUUCAGGUUUAUUCCUAACUAUUCACCCAAGACGUCACUGAUGCCUGGUCCCUGCCCAGUGCAGGGACAGUUAUUCAGAUGGAAAGAUGGCCCUCUGGGCUUUCCUCGAGGGCCUGGGAUCUCAGGGCAGUGAGGUGGGAGGGCCCCUCGGGGUCGAGAACCCGUGUAAUCCCCACUGGAGGACUCGCCCUGUCUGUGCAGACCCUGAAUCUAGGUGCACAGCGUCGGGGAGACUAGUUAAGUUUGGGAGGAGGCUUGAUGUGUUCAAUGCAGCCGUCUGCCAUUCUGCUCUCAGGAGAUGGUUUCCCAGGGCCCACGACAGCAGGGAUGGAGCUGGGAGGCGGGAGUCAGUGACAGCGGAGGACGGGCACCUUGAAGCUCUGGAGCCAGGGGAUGACCCAGACUUCAGAGUAGCAGCUGAGAGUCUGAAACGAGGGUGACCUGAGAGUCCCCCCUUCACGGAGGCGUCCCACCCCGCCAGGGUAACCUCACCCGCCGCAGAGACCACCCUCCAUGAUAGGGACAGCAUCCCGCCCUGAGAGUUUGCGGUUACCAAAGAGAAGAGACAUAAUAGAGUCACCCCCCCCAAUCCUGUACCCAGGGGUGACCAGUAUCGAAGGCGUCGUUGCUGCAGUUGUUGAAGCUCUCAGCGCUGUGUCUGGCUGCCUUGAGGACGUCCGGGUCGUUGGUCUUGAUAGUCUUGGGAAAUCCUGGCUUCACACCUGAGUUAAGGAUCUUGGAACAAAAAUCUGGAUGAGAAGCAGAACCAGACAAGAACGUUAACUGGGGGGGGGGUCCUUGGUCCAGGGAUCAUGCCUCCCGCCUCUGCUCCCAGUGUGGU